ensembl:lncRNA
ACAGCUUUUCUUGGCCCACGGCGGGUCCACAAAUUUUCACUGACCACAGCGGGUCCACAAAUCUUCGCUGACCACGGCGGGUCCACAAAUGCAUAGUGAAGCUUAAAACCCUCUUGGAUAGAACAUCAACUCUAAACAAGCACAGUUAUGCAUUGUGUAUAAAAUAAACUCAACCUGUGAAUAAAAUGAAUGUGAUGACAAACAUAUUCAAUGCAAUAUGAACCCUGUAAACAAUAUUACUGAUAAAAUAAUACUGUAGAACAUGUUAUUAAUGCAUUUAUCAUAAGGCAGAUUAUAUGGCAGCAAUAAAAGAAUCUCUAAAUCCCAACAGUUGUGGUCGGUGUACACAACAAGAGGUAACAUGCUGGACCCCAGGUAUACAUGAAAGUGCUGAAGAGCCAACAACAAAGCCAGGGUCUCCUUUUCAAUGGUGGAGUAGUUUAACUGAUUUUUAUUGAACUUGCGGGAAAAGUAACAAACGGGGUGGUCCAAACCCUGCAAGUCUUCUUGCAACAGCACUGCCCCAGCCCCGACAGCACUGGCAUCAACCUCAAGCUUGAAUGGUCGCGUCAAAUCAGGUGCAGCUAACACAGGAGUGUGGCAGAGGAGGGCUUUUGCACUCUCAAAAGCAUCUUGACACUCACUUGACCAUAUAAACUCAACCUUUGGGCUGAGUAGGUCAGUCAAUGGCUUGACUACUGAGGAGAAAUUUUUACAAAAGUUUCUGUAGUAGCCCACCAUCCCUAGAAACCUACGCAACUCACGCCUGGUGGUAGGUGUGGGAAACUCUUUAAUCACUGCCACUUUGGCAUCAAUGGGCCGGACCUGCCCACGUCCCACCUCCCUGCCUAAGUACGUCACUGUAGCUUUGGCAAACUCACACUUAGCUAAGUUGAGAGUUAGAGUAGCUUGAGCCAAACGGUGAAAUACCUGGCAUAAAGUUUCCAAAUGAUCUUGCCAUGUUUCAGUGUAAAUUACUAGAUCAUCUAGGUAGGCACUGCAGUUGGACAGGCCACGGAGG